rnacentral:rRNA from 1 species
AUUGAACGCUGGCGGCAUGCCUUACACAUGCAAGUCGAACGGUAACGGGCCUUCGGGUGCCGACGAGUGGCGAACGGGUGAGUAAUGCAUCGGAACGUACCUUUCAGUGGGGGAUAACGUAGCGAAAGUUACGCUAAUACCGCAUAUUCUGUGAGCAGGAAAGCAGGGGAUCGCAAGACCUUGCGCUGAUUGAGCGGCCGAUGUCAGAUUAGCUAGUUGGUGAGGUAAAGGCUCACCAAGGCGACGAUCUGUAGCGGGUCUGAGAGGAUGAUCCGCCACACUGGAACUGAGACACGGUCUAGACUCCUACGGGAGGCAGCAGUGGGGGAAUUUUGGACAAUGGGGGCAACCCUGAUCCAGCCAUGCCGCGUGAGUGAAGAAGGCCUUCGG